GCGGGCGUGGUGUAACGGCUGCACAAGACCCUUCCAAGGUCUUAGUACGGGUUCGACUCCCGUCGCCCGCU
rnacentral:tRNA from 1 species